GUCCCUUGUUUGAGUCUAAUGACCUGACACUUUUGUCACUCUUAAAUCUCUUACCUUGCUCAGCUUUAAAUUUCCAUUCUCCCACAGUGUAGAUUGGAGCUAGAGUAUCAGGGUAAGGAGUCAGGGAGGCAGCUGGCACUACUCUGACUCACCAGCCACAGAGGAAGCCAUGUGUGAAAAGGCUCCAUGAUCUGGAUCAUGGGAGAUGCUGGUCCAAGCCUUUAUGUCUGAUCGCGCAUUUGCACCAACUCUCCAGAGGGAAGAUACAGGAGAGGGGUGGAAGGUAGCGGUGGAGAGCCUGUAGCCAGGACUGACCACUGUGGUGAAUGCCUAACAGGAGCCGGUCUUAUUCUUGACAGACAAAACCAAUGCAGAUCCAUCCCCAUGAUGAUACUGCAUGAAACUGGAUGCGAGGCCUACAGAAAGCAGCUAAAAUCUGUGGGAUGCAGUAAACAUACCUCACAAUGAACCCGUUGGGUGCAAGAAGGCACUACUUACUGUGAAGAGUCUCUUGGAAAACUGGCUCUGAAGGUGUGUACCAACCGUAUCCAAAGAGGUGGCCUCCACAUGAAGGAGAGGAUGGUGAAAGCCGCAAGCAGGGAUGCCAAAUGCAGAACCACAUACCAUGAGGUAAAGAACAUUGCAGAAAGAUAAAGAUGUGUCUAUGAUGCUUGUUUUUCAUAUAUUCAAAUCUGAAAGAGGAAAUUCCAAUGAAUUGCUCCAGUUGUGUCAGCAUUACUUGGUAUCUGGAUACCGGUACAAGACUAUAAUUAAGUGCUGUCUUUCAGAAGAUAAAUCAUGCAGCAAUUUAAGGGUGAAAUUAAUUAUAAAGUGGAAGUUCUACAGUGAUGCUGCUUUUUAAGACAUCUGCAUGCCCACACACAGAAAUGCUUUACUAAUAAUUGCAAUUCCUUCCUUUACUCAUUCUGAUCCCUGAAAGGGCAGACAAUAAAAUCCUUAAUGAGGGGGAUCAGCCCAAAUUAAGGAAGCAACAAAACCAGUCAUGUGGCAUCAGAAAAAGCUGCCAUCUCCAACCUUAAAGCAGCAUGCUGAUUGUGUGGAUAAGCCAUGAGCCUAAUGCUGGGGGGGG